rnacentral:rRNA from 1 species
GAUGAACGCUGGCGGCGUGCCUAAUACAUGCAAGUCGAGCGAAUGGAUUAAGAGCUUGCUCUUAUGAAGUUAGCGGCGGACGGGUGAGUAACACGUGGGUAACCUGCCCAUAAGACUGGGAUAACUCCGGGAAACCGGGGCUAAUACCGGAUAACAUUUUGAACCGCAUGGUUCGAAAUUGAAAGGCGGCUUCGGCUGUCACUUAUGGAUGGACCCGCGUCGCAUUAGCUAGUUGGUGAGGUAACGGCUCACCAAGGCAACGAUGCGUAGCCGACCCGGGAGGGUGAUCGGCCAGACUGGGACUGAGAGACGGCCCAGACUCCUACGGGAGGCAGCAGUAGGGAAUCUUCCGCAAUGGACGAAAGUCUGACGGAGCAACGCCGCGUGAGUGAUGAAGGCUUUCGGGUCGUAAAACUCUGUUGUUAGGGAAGAACAAGUGCUAGUUGAAUAAGCUGGCACCUUGACGGUACCUAACCAGAAAGCCACGGCUAACUACGUGCCAGCAGCCGCGGUAA